AAUGUUUCUGGUAACCGCAAUCCGGACAGACCACCAAUAACCGAGACGGCACCCAAUAUGACUAAAGAAUUUAAGCAACAAUGACAGACUCACGAGAUAUGUUACGAAGGGUAUAAUGAUGAGUCCGAGACCGCUGAUAUAUGCGGAGAAACCAAUAGCAACUCCACGUAAUUGCGUAGGAUAGAGUUCUCCGGCGAAGGGAUAAAUAAUUAGAAAAGAGGCCGAUAUUGCAGACUUCGAUAUGAGAAACAAUAUCAAGCAAUAUUGCUACGUUGCAUCAACCACCUAAUUAUGUUGCUAUUAUCGUUAAUUAAUCAAGUCAUUAACUGAUUGGCCAGCGGUGCGUACCGGGCGACAACAGCAC